rnacentral:rRNA from 1 species
GUUAAAAAGCUCGUAGUCGGAUUUUUGUGUCAUGUCGAACGGUCGGCCUGUUGGUCUGUACUGUUUGACGGGCAUACUCCUUCCAGAGGCUCCGUGAGGCCUUCAUUGGUCUCGCGGUUGAAUCUGGGUCUUUUACUUUGAAAAAAUUAGAGUGUUCAAAGCAGGCUUAUGCUCGAAUAGCUUAGCAUGGAAUAAUAGAAUAGGACUUCGGUCUUAUUUUGUUGGUUUCUAGGACCGAAGUAAUGAUUAACAGGGACAGUUGGGGGCAUUCAUAUUCCAUUGUCAGAGGUGAAAUUCUUGGAUUAACGGAAGAUGAACUUCUGCGAAAGCAUCUGCCAAGGAUGUUUUCAUUGAUCAAGAACGAAAGUUAGGGGAUCGAAGACGAUCAGAUACCGUCGUAGUCUUAACCAUAAACUAUGCCGACUAGGGAUGUGGAGUCGUUAACUUUGUACGACCCUCCAUGCACCUUAUGAGAAAUCAAAGUCUAUGGGUUCCGGGGGGAGUAUGGUCGCAAGGCUGAAACUUAAAGGAAUUGACGGAAGGGCACCACCAGGAGUGGAGCCUGCGGCU